UCGAGCGAACAGACGAGGAGCUUGCUCCUCUGACGUUAGCGGCGGACGGGUGAGUAACACGUGGAUAACCUACCUAUAAGACUGGGAUAACUUCGGGAAACCGGAGCUAAUACCGGAUAAUAUAUUGAACCGCAUGGUUCAAUAGUGAAAGACGGUUUUGCUGUCACUUAUAGAUGGAUCCGCGCCGCAUUAGCUAGUUGGUAAGGUAACGGCUUACCAAGGCAACGAUGCGUAGCCGACCUGAGAGGGUGAUCGGCCACACUGGAACUGAGACACGGUCCAGACUCCUACGGGAGGCAGCAGUAGGGAAUCUUCCGCAAUGGGCGAAAGCCUGACGGAGCAACGCCGCGUGAGUGAUGAAGGUCUUCGGAUCGUAAAACUCUGUUAUUAGGGAAGAACAAAUGUGUAAGUAACUAUGCACGUCUUGACGGUACCUAAUCAGAAAGCCACGGCUAACUACGUGCCAGCAGCCGCGGUAAUACGUAGGUGGCAAGCGUUAUCCGGAAUUAUUGGGCGUAAAGCGCGCGUAGGCGGUUUUUUAAGUCUGAUGUGAAAGCCCACGGCUCAACCGUGGAGGGUCAUUGGAAACUGGAAAACUUGAGUGCAGAAGAGGAGAGUGGAAUUCCAUGUGUAGCGGUGAAAUGCGCAGAGAUAUGGAGGAACACCAGUGGCGAAAGCGACUUUCUGGUCUGUAACUGACGCUGAUGUGCGAAAGCGUGGGGAUCAAACAGGAUUAGAUACCCUGGUAGUCCACGCCGUAAA
rnacentral:rRNA from 1 species